AUUGAACGCUGGCGGCAGGCCUAACACAUGCAAGUCGAGCGAGAAAGGUCUUCGGACUGAGUACAGCGGCGGACGGGUGAGUAAAGCGUAGGAAUCUACCUGGUAGUGGGGGAUAACUUGGGGAAACUCAAACUAAUACCGCAUACGCCCUACGGGGAAAGCGGGGGACCGUUCGGGCCUCGCGCUAUCAGAUGAGCCUGCGUAGGAUUAGCUAGUUGGUGAGGUAAAGGCUCACCAAGGCGACGAUCCUUAGCUGGUCUGAGAGGAUGAUCAGCCACACUGGGACUGAGACACGGCCCAGACUCCUACGGGAGGCAGCAGUGGGGAAUAUUGCGCAAUGGGCGAAAGCCUGACGCAGCCAUGCCGCGUGUGUGAAGAAGGCCUUAGGGUUGUAAAGCACUUUCAAUUGGGAAGAAAGUUGGUCGUUAAUAGCGGCCAGCCCUGACAUUACCUUUAGAAGAAGGACCGGCUAACUCCGUGCCAGCAGCCGCGGUAAUGUCGUACG
rnacentral:rRNA from 1 species